UCCAUUUACCGUCUUAGAUUCUCCACAUCCUCUAUGGUCUCUGGCAGGGCGACUCCACUCAUCUCAACACUCAUCAGGCAACAUUGUCACCAAUCCACUGUACAGCACCGACAUCACACAUAAAAACCAAUGUGAGGAACUUCUUACUAUGAGCUGAAACAGAUAUCUUAAAUUGCUUUGCUGCUUUACAGGAUGUUGUGCAAGACUAUCAGCAACUAGAAGUGCAGUGGAUGCCUUUCUGCAGCGUUUGGAUGAUGAGUUACAACUGAGCGCUAAAAUACUCGACGGGAACCAUCAGUCAAAAUAUACUUCACCAGAUACAUCUCUCAUUGAUGCCAAAAAAG